CUGGGGCGGUCUCCUCCUAAAGAGUAACGGAGGAGCACGAAGGUUGGCUAAUCCUGGUCGGACAUCAGGAGGUUAGUGCAAUGGCAUAAGCCAGCUUGACUGCGAGCGUGACGGCGCGAGCAGGUGCGAAAGCAGGUCAUAGUGAUCCGGUGGUUCUGAAUGGAAGGGCCAUCGCUCAACGGAUAAAAGGUACUCCGGGGAUAACAGGCUGAUACCGCCCAAGAGUUCAUAUCGACGGCGGUGUUUGGCACCUCGAUGUCGGCUCAUCACAUCCUGGGGCUGAAGUAGGUCCCAAGGGUAUGGCUGUUCGCCAUUUAAAGUGGUACGCGAGCUGGGUUUAGAACGUCGUGAGACAGUUCGGUCCCUAUCUGCCGUGGGCGCUGGAGAACUGAGGGGGGCUGCUCCUAGUACGAGAGGACCGGAGUGGACGCAUCACUGGUGUUCGGGUUGUCAUGCCAAUGGCACUGCCCGGUAGCUAAAUGCGGAAGAGAUAAGUGCUGAAAGCAUCUAAGCACGAAACUUGCCCCGAGAUGAGUUCUCCCUGAGACUUAGAGUCUCCUGAAGGAACGUUGAAGACGACGACGUUGAUAGGCCGGGUGUGUAAGCGCAGCGAUGCGUUGAGCUAACCGGUACUAAUGAACCGUGAGGCUUAACCUUACAACGCCGAAG
rnacentral:rRNA from 1 species